GCCCCUAAACCAUUAAACUGUCUGGAGCAAGGGUAAGCAAUCCUUGGCACUCCAGAUGAUGUGGCCAGCAUUGUGGCUGUAAGAGAUGCAGUCCACAAAAUCUGGAGAGCCAAAGGUUGUCUACCCCUGGCUUAGGGCCCUAUGGGAUUUUAAAGGGACACUAUAGUCACCAGAACAACUUGAGCUUAAUGAAGCGGUUUUGGUGUAUAGAUCAUGCCCCUGCAGUCUCACUGCUCAAUUCUCAGCCAUUUAGGAGUUGAACCACUUUGUUUAUUCAGUUCUAGCCACAACUCCUUGCAUAUGACCUGAACAGCCUUCCUCAACACUUCCUGUAAACAGAGAUCUAAUGUUUAAACUUCGUUUAUUGUGCAUUCUGUUUAAUUUAGAACCUAUCGCCUGCUCUAUUAAUAGCUCGCUAGAUCAUGCAGGAGACUCCUGUGUGCACUCAAUUUACAGAGAAGGAGAUAUGUGUCUAAAGCAGCGUUUCCC